CAGCCUAUAGCCGAUGUGGUAGUGCGUCUGCCUGCGACGUAUAAAGUUCCGAGUUUGAUUCUCGGUGGGUUGA